rnacentral:rRNA from 1 species
AUUGAACGCUGGCGGCAGGCCUAACACAUGCAAGUCGAGCGAGCGGCGGACGGGUGAGUAAUGUCUGGGAAACUGCCUGAUGGAGGGGGAUAACUACUCGAAACGGUAGCUAAUACCGCAUACCAUCAGAUGUGCCCAGAUGGGAUUAGCUAGUGGGUGGGGUAACGGCUCACCUAGGCGACGCUCCCUAGCUGGUCUGAGAGGAUGACCAGCCAAACUGGAACUGGGACACGGUCCAGACUCCUACGGGAGGCAGCAGUGGGGAAUAUUGCACAAUGGGCGCAAGCCUGAUGCAGCCAUGCCGCGUGUAUGAAGAAGGCCUUCGGGUUGUAAAGUACUUUCAGCGGGGGGGCGUUACCCGAAGAAGAAGCACCGGCUAACUCCGUGCCAGCAGCCGCGGUAAUUC